rnacentral:sRNA from 1 species
GCUUUUUCCCAUGGGCGGCUCGGCAAAGAUUUGGCUAAAGGCAUCCGGUCCGUUGACCGGAUGCCUUUUUUUAUGGUU